GCUAGCGUCCGCCUCGCCAGUCGUACUCACGUGAUCGUGGGUCAGGGAACCCGGUGGAAGUCCGGGACUGACGCGCAGCGGUGAGGGUGACGGGCGGGGCAACAACGCCACUGGUGGGGCCGGUAGACACUCGGCCGACCGCACUGGGAAGGCGCUCCGUCCGGUGGAUCCCGAGUCCGAAGACCUGCUGGCCGUGGACCCGUUGG
rnacentral:ncRNA from 2 species